GGAAGUCACGUGCGCGGCACGUGAGGUCACCGUCCUCCUCCCUCUCUAUAUUUAAAACCGCGGUCGAGAGAAUCGCGGGUUUUCUGUAAUUUUCUUCUUCAUUUUCCCCCAAUUUACCUCUCGCGUUCUCUCUCCCAAAACGAAACGGAAAAAAAGAAAAGAAAAGAAAAGAAAAACGUAAUUCAUUUUUUACCAAAAUACGCGAUUUGAUCUCAUAAUUAACGGGAAGUUUCGAGAAUUGGGUAUGAAUGAGGGGGGAAAUUGAUGGAUCGCGGCAGAAUAAAACCCAAAAAGUCGAAAUGGAGAAAUAAGGCCAAGAUCUCUCUACCCAAAAAAGACGCUGAGGAGGAGGAGGAUCUGGAGAAAAAGGCACUUUUGCCCUCGGCCAUGGCGGGAAAGAGGAAGAGUGGGAUGAAGAACGCCAAGGGGCGAGUGCAGUGGAACGAUGAUCACGGGGACCAGCUCGUCCAAGUGCUUGAAUUCUUUCCGAGUGAUUCAAGUGACUCAGAGGAUGAGUUCGUAGACUCUUGUAUGUGUAAGAUAAUGUAGAAGGUGCAGCCGGUACAGAUACAGAUAAGCAUCGCUGAGUGCCACAGUUACAGCUGCCGAGUGAGCGACAUGCACGGUUUAUGCAGCAGCAAAAAGAAUUCUUGUUGAGAUGGUAUCAUUUUCUUUAUGUUGGCUACUCCUUUCCCUGCUUUAAAAUGGGUAGCUUAAAGUUGAUAAGACAUACGAGAUUGCCGGUCUCUGGGGCUCUUAGCAAGUUGAAACAGGGAAAGGAAGUUAGGAGCAGGGUAGAAGUCCAGAGCAUUUGAUGGUUUCUGUUGAAAACUUGAAGAUAUCAAGAUAUUGUUAUGAUUUA